CUUGGCUGUUUUAAUUUUUUCCCCUCUUUCAGACUGUCAGUCACAAACCGUAUCUUGACUUACAGAGAGAUCUUUUCUUAUUUCAGAAGCCUUUUAUUGUCACUAUGACUGCAGGCUUUAUGCUUAUCUCCUGCUUCUCAGAUAAGCUUCCCCUUCACUAAGAGCCACCCUAUAAUCUCAACCUAUUUAUAUGUGAUUUUACCUCCUUGAGAUAAAUAGAUUAUUUCUGCUUGUUUUAUUUGAAAGGAUUUUAUUUAGGGGACUCGGUUCUGAUACAAUCUAGACUCUUGGCAUUCAGUUAAAAAAUACAAACAAUAAUGAAGAAAGCUUUCAAUUUUCUGAGAAAGGCAUUUUGGCAAGAACUGUACAUACAAAACACUCAUAAAAAAAUAAAAGGUGAAAACAAAUAAACAAUUUGCUUUGCACAGGCAUAAUGCUUUCCAGGCUAGCAAAACUUUGGGGCAUAUUCUUCCGCUGUUGUCAUGCUGCUGACACAGGAAAGAUAAUUCCUGUGCUUAGUUCAUAAGCAAUUAAUAAAUAAUCUUUUAUUUUUCAACAGCUUGCAGUAUACAAAGAGAAGAGAGCCUCUUAAAAAUCUAAUUCCUAUAUUCUCAAGGGCUUGAAGACUCUCUGGGCUGCUGGAAUUAAGUGGCUGUGAUUUUCUGUAAAUCCAGGCAUUUGCUUCAUUAAAACUUUAUGAAAUCUAAACACACUCUUUAUUCCAUGUAUCUCUUACAUGUCUGUCAAACAUUUUUUCUGUUGAUACAUUAAUUUUUAGUGAUAAUGUAUUUUCACUAAAACAUGGAUCAUACACAGAUGAUACCUUACAAGAAAUCCCUACAAAGCAGAGUACUGCUAACCCCUCUAUGUAAACACUUGGAACAGGAGAGCACGUUUGGAAUUUUCUAGACACAUGAAUUGAAUUCUAUUUUUGCUCUCCAAGAGGCCAAGAGCAAAAUACAUGCAGUGAACUUUUCUAAGAAGGAAGACAAGCUUGUUAAACUCACCUUCAAGCAAACAGCAACAGCCCUCAGUCUUUCUUUACAGGUAAGAAACAGAUGCUUUUCAUUACUUUGGGCAAUAACAUCUCAUUAGCACGGCACAUCAGCAAGCUGGGACACAUCAGCUAUACCUGAUUAAGUUGAUUCCAGGUUUCUUCAAGCUUGGCUCAGUCCAAAGGAAAAAUCAAGUUGGUUUAUGCAGUGGAUAACAGGUAGAAGUUCUGAAAACAGUGCUAAGGAUAAGGGCUGAAGUAAAAACUGGCAAACUCAAUUUUGGCCCUAACAGAAGGCUGUCUGCUAUCUCACCCUCUAGGCAGAGAUUUUUUGGCAGUUUAUGAGUGAAUAAUUUUCCCUGCCAAGUAGCUGAAAUGUAUUCUCUGUGACACAUUAUUCUUCAUGGCAGGUCAGGAAGGGUAUCAGUGAAUAGGAGGUCCAGCAUCUCUUUCUGGCAUGGGUUGAACAGCUGAGAUACACUGCCUGCAGGAGCUAAGAGUAUGUAAUUACAGCCUUCACUCACAGAUGUCCUCACUGGCAUGAACUCUAGUUAUAGCCAUUGGUGACAUGUACUUUGGCAAGGUCUUGACAGAAUGGAUAUUUUCCAGGAUGUCUGGAGCAGCUAAGAGUUUGUGGAGCUGCACUUCCAAUGUAGGAGGCUCAGAAGCCAAAGAAGGAGAAUCAAGUUUGAGUAGACUAACAUUGAAGCCUUUGUUGAGAGAUGAUGAAAACUGGUGGAGAGACACUAAACUGUGAAGCACAGUGGAAAGCUGGAACCAUCUCUACUCAAAGCAUCCUUCAGGACUGAUACCCUGGGGGGACAGGGGCAAGCAGGGGGCUGUGAAACACUGCACAAGCCUUGUGGUGCCACUCAUUCCUUGACAGUUUAAUACCACUCAGUAAUUUACAUGGGCUGUGAAACCAGCAGGGUUUGACACCCAUAAGGUCAGCUCUGCCAUCGGGGAUGCAAACUUGGGUCUCAGCAGAGGAAAAAACUAAACUAGUGCAAACAUGUUUUUCUCAGGGAGUCAAGCAAGGUACCUAAGGUAGUAAAAAAUAAUUUAC